GACAGACUUUCUCCAAGGGAUCCCUCUCCAUUAAAAAGAAAAUACUGUCUCUCUUUGAAAAACAGAUUUUGGGGCUUGGCCAAUAAAAAAGGGCUUGUUGCAUCUCCUUCAACCAUUUUUCUCUCCCUCUGUUUCCGGCGAAAUCUCAUCUUCCUCACUCAAAGUCUCCACCGAUACCACCAUUUAACCUCUUCCUCACCUUCAUUUCCAACCACUUACCUCAACAACACCGAAAAAACCGCCAUCCACACUCUCGCUGCACCAUUCUCACCUCCAACUUCGACCACUGCCGGCGUCUACAAACCGCCGUACAAACACCACCCUACCCUCAUUACCGCCACCAUGAAAUCUCCGGUGAAUGCUAUCCAAAGCAAGCUACAACAACGUAACUCACAUCCCUUUCUUCCUCACACAACCGUCAUACUCGAUCCGCUUUCAAUAACAAAACACCACCAAAAAUCAUCUUCUGCCAACCGCCAUCAAACCGACAUUCCGG
rnacentral:lncRNA from 1 species